rnacentral:rRNA from 1 species
GCGAGCGAACGGGGAGAAGCCCAGCACGGAAUCCCGCGUGUGAAACAUAACGCAGGGAAAUGUCGUGUGAGGGACGCUCCGUAUCCCGAGUUCGGUGGCGAGUUCAAGUCUCUCUUGAAUGAGGCCACAUUCCCACAGAGGGUGGUAGGCCCGUAGAGCCACUGCCGUUCUCGGGGGGAGCUGUCCUCAGAGUCGUGUUCCUUGAAAGUGGAGCGCAAAGAGGUGGUAAACUCCAUCUAAGGCUAAAUAUUACCACGAGACCGAUAGAGAACAAGUACCGUGAGGGAAAGUUGAAAAGAACUUUGAAGAGAGAGUUCAAUAGUACGUGAAACCGUUCAGGGGUAAACGGAAGGGGUCCGAAAGAGCCGACAGGGAAGAUUCAAGUUCUCCGCUCUCAGCCCCCAGCGGUGGUGGUGGUCAUCGGGUACCGAACUCGUUCCUUGCGGACGAGCGCCUCGGGAACCCCGAGCCACUCUUCGUUGGGUUUGGACCUGUUUGCGGAGUUCUGCACUUCUCUCACUCGGACGUCGCGACCCGUUGGAGGGGGGUCUAAGGCCCGGGAUGGAGCCCGUUGGGAGCGCCGAGGUGAAACUCGGGUUCACGUUGCCAUCGGACCCCGGUAGCCCGGCCCCUGACGCCGACGGUAUGUGUACGACGAGAUGGCCCGCUAUUGCGGAGCGUCCGACCUGGCGGACAAGUUCCGCGGGUCUCGUGCGUGGUGACGCGGCUCGCGCCGCGUCCCCGCCGCCCGCGGGCUGAUGGUCCCCGGUGUUCUCGGACAGCUUUGGCCGUUCUCCCGUCAGCGGCGAUGCUGCUUGGGAUAACCCUUCCGACCCGUCUUGAAACACGGACCAAGGAGUCUAACAUGUGCGCGAGUCAAUGGGAUGCACUAAACCCAGAGGCGCAAUGAAAGUAAAGGGCGGCGCAAGUCGCCCUUCUAAGGGAAGAUGGCUUAGCCACUCGGCAGCCCGCACUCCCGGGGCGCCCCGGCUUCGGCCGUGGGCGCACCUUGAGCGUACAUGUUGGGACCCGAAAGAUGGUGAACUAUGCCUGGCCAGGACGAAGUCAGGGGAAACCCUGAUGGAGGUCCGCAGCGAUUCUGACGUGCAAAUCGAUCGUCUGAGCUAGGUAUAGGGGCGAAAGACUAAUCGAACCAUCUAGUAGCUGGUUCCCUCCGAAGUUUCCCUCAGGAUAGCUGGCACCCGCUUUGACGGUCAGAGAGUCUCAUCCGGUAAAGCGAAUGAUUAGAGGCCUUGGGGUCGAAACGACCUCAACCUAUUCUCAAACUUUAAAUGGGUGAGAGCUCUGGCUUGCUCAAGUGAAGCCGUUGAGGCGGAUCAGGGACGUCUAGUGGGCCAUUUUUGGUAAGCAGAACUGGCGCUGUGGGAUGAACCAAACGCCGGGUUAAGGCGCCUAAACCGGAGCUAAUUGGAUACCAUGAAAGGCGUUGGUUGCUUAAGACAGCAGGACGGUGGCCAUGGAAGUCGGAAUCCGCUAAGGAGUGUGUAACAACUCACCUGCCGAAGCAACUAGCCCUGAAAAUGGAAGGCGCUCAAGCUCCGUGCCUAUACCCGGCCGCCGGAAGGCAUAGGCGUGAGCCGCUCAGUCGGCUAGCGCGUGAAGCCCCGGUGAGUAGGAGGGCGCGGCGGUGUGCGCAGAAGGGUCUGGGCGUGAGCCUGCCUGGAGCCGCCGUUGGUGCAGAUCUUGGUGGUAGUAGCAAAUACUCAAGAGAGGGCCUUGAGGGCUGAUGCGGAGAAGGGUUUCGUGUGAACAGCCGUUGCACACGAGUCAGUCGAUCCUAAGCCAUAGGAGAAAUCCGAAGUCGAUGUGGGGUCGCCGUCUAACGUGCUCUCCCUCGAUGGGCGAAAGGGAAUCCGGUUCCUAUUCCGGAACCCGGCAGCGGAACCGUCUUACGGGCCCCUCGAAAGAGAAGCUCGUCGGGGUAACCCAAAAGUACCCGGAGACGCCGUCGGGAGGCCCGGACAGAGUUUUCUGUUCUGUUUAAGCGUUCGAGUUCCCUGGAAUCCUCUAGCAGGGAGAUAGGGUUUGGAACGCGAAGAGCACCGCAGUUGCGGCGGUGCCCGGGUCGUCCCCUCGGACCUUGAAAAUCCGGGAAAGGGUCACGUGGAGGUAUCGCGCCGGCUCGUACCCAUAUCCGCAGCAGGUCUCCAAGGUUAAGAGCCUCUAGUCGAUAG